rnacentral:lncRNA from 1 species
UUAACGAUCGACUUUCUUACAUUAAUUUUAUAUAUAUAUAAAUAAAUUUGUUCUCAUUUUUCAUUUUUUAAUAAUUUUCGAACAAUUUUGACAUGCUGUAUAGCUGAAAGGGUUCAAAAACUAAAAGACCUUAUUCUCAAACUUUUCUUUAUAUAGCUCCAUCCUUUUUCAAAAUAAAACGAGGUCGGUGUCGAUAAGUUCAUUUUUAUGGAAGUUAUGACUUUUUUUAGAAAGUUGUACAUAUAUGUACAUAAGUACACAGAAGAGAGAAAAAUUUCUUUAAAUUUAAUAAAUCGUUUCGUUCGACUAAUCCAAAGCCUAUAUUUCUUUUAAUAAAUUUUAAACAUAUUUCUUUAAAUUUAAUAAAAUUUAUUAGAAACAAAGAAAUAUAUGCUUUGAAAUAAUUGAACAAAAUGGUUUAUUAAAUUUAAAGAAAUCUUUCUCUCUGUAUAUAUAAUACUAGCCGUUAAAGAGUUAAAAACAAAUUCUAUAGAAGCAACUUCAUUUCUAUAUUGCAUAGAUCGAAACAAAAUGUAAUCGAUAUGAAAAAUAUUUUUGACAUUUCUUUGUUCUAAAAAAUUUUAUACUUAAUGUCUAAAAUUUUUCAAGCGAUUUAUUUGUGUAUUAAAAAUAAAUCUUAUUUUAUAUAAUCAUAGGAAACUAUUAUAAUCUAGUGAUCACUCAUGAUAAUGGAUAAUGAGAUAGCCGGAACAAAGGACAAAUUUGAAAAUCAUCGCGGGGUAGCAUAUCCACAUUUACAAGAAAUUGAGAAAAGAUUCUUCGAACUAGUCGCCGACGGAAGUGUAACCGAAGUGCAACAUUUCUUGGAGAAACAUCCGCGUUUUAAUAUAAAUGUUAUCAAUUUUCAAGUAAGUUCCUAUAUAAAUUUAUGAUUUCCUCACUUUUCUGAUUUUGAAGAAGCAUGAAAUAUUGAUGAUCACAAAUAAGAUAUGGAUUACUGUAGCUGAGAGUUGAAGAGACUCACUCGUGCGAAAUCGAAAGUAUAUUAAAGAACUUAUUUCCUGAUCACUUAAUCAAGAACUGUCAACAAUGCAAAUAUUAUUUGCAAAUAAUUGGAGAUUUGAAAUACUAAAUUACACCAUGACAGAAUGCAUUUUCCAUAAAUUAAGCUCUAUUUCUUUUCUACCUGAUUCAACGAAUUCCCCAGGAAGUUGUGCGAAUGGCGGGCUCCAAAACUAAAUUUUCCAAACUAAACAGCUCAUCAAGAUUCCCAAAGCUAUCCUUCUCUUCACUUUUCGUAGUUUAAGUGACACCGUCACUUAUGUUAUUAGGAUUCACCCUAAAAUGACGGCGCGUCAAACAGAGAUGCGCUUUUCGCAUUUUCGAUAUUCAGGUCAACUCUGUCACUCUUUUCUUUAAGUUGUGUGUUGAUCGUUUAAAUUGUUCUGCCUGCUGUUGGUAGUUUAAAUUGUUCUAUCGUUUCUAGAUUUGUUAUUUUUUUCUUUGAUACUCACAGUAAAAAGAGAAUGAAAAAAAAAUAGAUAAGAAUACAGAAGAAAAUAAUCAAUAUUAGACAUUUUAAUUUACGUUAUUAAAAAAUAUUAAUGAUUAAUUUUUUAGAAAUUAUUUUAUUCUUACAAACAUGAACGUUUUUAUAUAAUCUGUAAAUAUUUAUUUAUAUAUCUUAAAGCGAAUCUAACCAUCUUAUUAGUCUUUGACAAACUUGUGUGGUUUAUCCUGUGCAAGAAACGGCGGAACCAAUACAGGAAGAAGGGUAACAAAACGAAGAGAAUGAAAGCGAAGUCCAGUUAUCUCAGAUCUUUACUCUAUAGUGGAACACGUACCCCCCGUGGAAUGUUUCCUUCAUCCAUUUGGUCGACACCGGUAACUACCUUAGUGUGUUUGCCUCUCCCCCUCCCUCCCUCCCUCUCUCUCUCUCUCUCUCUCUCUCUCUCUCUCUCUCUCUCUUUCUCUCUGAGAGGGUUCCAGAAAAGCGACCAAACUCUCGUUUGACUUUGAGGCCGAGAUGCCGAAGCGGCACGAAGAAAGAUGGCACGCGAAUGGAAGGAGAGGAGGAGAAAGAGAGGGAGAGCGAAAGAAGAAGAGAGAUGGAAAAGAGAACGAGAAAAGGAGAUAUAUAAAGAGAAACGAAGUUGGAUGUUCUUCGUGUAUCUCCAGCCAUAUUUUAGACCGUCUUUUUACAAGACAAUGGUUUCAACCGAGACCUGAUAAAAAUUAUUCAAAUGGCCCGCUCCGCUAUAAAUUCUAUAUAGGAAUUCUCUCGACAUCGGAAGCUUUUCCAUGAUCUACUUGCGAGCCUCGGCGCGAUCUAUGAUGUACCACAGUAAAUCUCGCGAUACGUCAAUUCGAGCUAUUACCUUCUGACAGGACUUUUGUGUCCCUUCAAAUUAUUUUCUCUUUGUAAAAUAAAAAUUUAAUAUUAAAAAAAAAUACUAUUAAUAAUAAAAAUUAAGCCGUAAAGAGUUUGUCUCAUUUUAACUCCGGGAAACACGCCUCGAGUAUUUUUGGGACACAUCCGCGCGUGCGUGUGUUUUCGUUUAUCAUUCACCUUUCCCUCCAAAA